rnacentral:rRNA from 1 species
AGGUGGAUGCCUUGGCACUAGAAGCCGAUGAAGGACGUGACUAACGACGAAAUGCUUUGGGGAGCUGUAAGUGAGCAAUGAUCCAGAGAUGUCCGAAUGGGGGAACCCGGCAGGUAAUGCCUGUCACUCAUUACUGUUAAGGUAAUGUAGAGGAAGACGCAGUGAACUGAAACAUCUAAGUAGCUGCAGGAAGAGAAAGCAAAAGCGAUUGCCUUAGUAGCGGCGAGCGAAACGGCAGGAGGGCAAACCGAAGAGUUUACUCUUCGGGGUUGUAGGACUGCAAUGUGGACUCAAAGAUUAUAGAAGAAUGAUUUGGGAAGAUCAGCCAAAGAGAGUAAUAGCCUCGUAUUUAAAAUAGUCUUUGUACCUAGCAGUAUCCUGAGUACGGCGGGACACGCGAAAUCCCGUCGGAAUCUGGGAGGACCAUCUCCCAACCCUAAAUACUCCCUAGUGACCGAUAGUGAACCAGUACCGUGAGGGAAAGGUGAAA